rnacentral:misc_RNA from 1 species
AAGUCGUAACAAGGUAACCGUAGGUGAACCUGCGGUUGGAUCAUUACUGAUUAUGCCAUGCCUAGUUGAGUUUUUUUAGAUUCCUAGGCAUGGUAUUCAACCACUGUGCACUAAUUGUAUUUUGGGUCUUUUGGCGAAAAGUUGGUACCUUGCCUUUUUGGUUUUGUACCACUGUUCCUAGGAGGCCCAGCAUUACGAACCAAUGAAAUUUUUGUCUGAAAUCUUUAUAAAAUAAGAAACAACUUUUGACAACGGAUCUCUUGGCUCUC